GGGAUUGUGGCUCAGUGGUAGAGUGCUUGCCUAGUAUGCAUGAGGCCCUGAGUUCGAACCUCAGCACCU
rnacentral:tRNA from 1 species